ACCAUAUUCUCUUCAGCCCUACUGAUCCAUACGACAAUCUAUCUCCUCCCUCCAUCCUGCAGCCAACUCCAUGAGGUCUGUUUCUCUGGAAAAGAAGAGCUGGAGGUAUGGAUUCACAUGUAUUUUCUGGGGAGAGACAGUGGCACUUCUGCUGACAGAGGGGUGAACUGAUGUCAGAGUUCCCAGGCCUGGAGUGCUGUGAGAUGCUAACUCGAAGCUCAAUUCUGUGCUGAGGAGUUGACAUCCGAAUAGCCUCCGUGGGUUUGUGUGGCAAAGAUAAGAAUAUUAUCUACUGCCUUCAGGGGUGCCCUUUUCACCAAUUUUUGCACAACAAAGACCAAAGCCGGGCAGGUUUCUGUAAGAAUCUCUUCUCGUGAGGCUUAAGCGUCUCGAAACUAUCAACCGAAACAUUUUCACAGUGGGAGGAAGCAAUAAACAAAUCUCAGGCCACACAGCCUUUAUUAUUUAUUUAUUUAUUUAUUUUGGUCAGUGUACCAUGCAUUACUCUGACGGUGACCAAGGAUAAUAAAAAAGAAACAGAAAAAUCAGCACGCGGACUGAAACCUCCUCUCAUUCUUAUGAACACACACGGCCCAGCAUUGGUACCUCACUGACGCAUUCCUUUUCUUCAUGCUCAAUUCGGUCAUAUGGAGAAUGUUAGCUUAGAUCUCUGUGGCUGAAACUGCUACUGGGGGGGCGGGGACAGAAAAAGAACCAGUUCUAGAUCAGCCUGUAAAUAUCGGCUUCCAACAACCAAUAUACACCACAACUAGCUGAAACCUAGGCUGCUUCUGUUACAUGGAGUUCCCAAGAGUACUUUUUUUUUUUUUU